UCGAACCUGCCGGUCUAAAGUAGCCACCGGCUCCUCCUCAUAUGACAGAUCCUUGUCCAAUAGAAUAGUGCUGAAAUCUAACAUGUGGGCUGGAUCGUCGUGAUACCUCCAAAGCAUGGAUACAUGAAGAAUUGGAUGUACGGCUGACAAGCUAGGUGGCAAGGCAAGUCUAUAAGCGACCUCUCCCACACGAUCAAGAAUCUCAAAUGGGCCAGUGAACCUAGGGAUAAGCUUUCCUUCUUCCAGAACGCAUCACGCCCUUCAUAGGCGGCACUCGGAGUAAUACUCUCUCACCAACAAUGAAAGCAAUAUCUCAGACAUUGCGGUCUGCAUAACUCUUCUGCCUAGACUGAGCUGUCCGAAGUCUGUCCUGAAUGAUCUUGACCUUAUCCAAGGCCUCCUGAACUAGAUCUGUACCCA
rnacentral:lncRNA from 1 species